rnacentral:rRNA from 1 species
AACGCUAGCUACAGGCUUAACACAUGCAAGUCGAGGGGAAACGACAUCGAAAGCUUGCUUUUGGUGGGCGUCGACCGGCGCACGGGUGAGUAACGCGUAUCCAACCUGCCCACCACUUGGGGAUAACCUUGCGAAAGUAAGACUAAUACCCAAUGAUAUCCCACGAAGGCAUCCGAAUGGGAUUAAAGAUUUAUCGGUGAUGGAUGGGGAUGCGUCUGAUUAGCUUGUUGGCGGGGUAACGGCCCACCAAGGCUACGAUCAGUAGGGGUUCUGAGAGGAAGGUCCCCCACAUUGGAACUGAGACACGGUCCAAACUCCUACGGGAGGCAGCAGUGAGGAAUAUUGGUCAAUGGGCGAGAGCCUGAACCAGCCAAGUAGCGUGCAGGAUGACGGCCCUAUGGGUUGUAAACUGCUUUUAUGCGGGGAUAAAGUGGGGGAUGCAUCCCUUUUUGCAGGUACCGCAUGAAUAAGGACCGGCUAAUUCCGUGCCAGCAGCCGCGGUAAUACGGAAGGUCCAGGCGUUAUCCGGAUUUAUUGGGUUUAAAGGGAGCGUAGGCCGCCCCUUAAGCGUGUUGUGAAAUGCCGCGGCUCAACCGUGGCACUGCAGCGCGAACUGGGGGGCUUGAGUGCACGCAACGCAGGCGGAAUUCGUGGUGUAGCGGUGAAAUGCUUAGAUAUCACGAAGAACUCCGAUUG